rnacentral:rRNA from 1 species
AGAGACAGCAGCCGCCGCGGUAAUACGGAGGAUCCAAGCGUUAUCCGGAAUCAUUGGGUUUAAAGGGUCCGUAGGCGGUCUUGUAAGUCAGUGGUGAAAGCCCAUCGCUCAACGGUGGAACGGCCAUUGAUACUGCAGGACUUGAAUUAUUGGGAAGUAACUAGAAUAUGUAGUGUAGCGGUGAAAUGCUUAGAGAUUACAUGGAAUACCAAUUGAGAAGGCAGGUUACUACCAAUUGAUUGACGCUGAUGGACGAAAGCGUGGGUAGCGAACAGGAUUAGAUACCCCUGUAGUCCCUGUCUCUUAUAU